AGCACUUUGCUUUCUUGUUUCAAUGUUUGGCUUUUUAGGUGCAAACAUUAAAAAAGUGCUAAGAGUAAAACCUUCUUUUGCAACCCACAACUACUUUAUUUGUAGGAGUUGUGUUACUAAUGGGAAGGUACAUG